rnacentral:rRNA from 1 species
UCGAUGAAGAACGCAGCGAAAUGCGAUAAGUAAUGUGAAUUGCAGAAUUCAGUGAAUCAUCGAAUCUUUGAACGCACAUUGCGCCCUCUGGUAUUCCGGAGGGCAUGCCUGUUCGAGCGUCAUAAUGACCAACUCACCCCUGUGGUGGACUUGGAGCUGGCCUAACUGGCCUCUCUUAAAACCAGUGGCGGUGCUCUUAAGCUCUACGCGUAGUAAUUUUCUCGCGACAGGGUCUUGAGAGUGCUUGCCAGCAACCCCAACUAUUAUAAGGUUGACCUCGGAUCAGGUAGGGAUACCCGCUGAACUUAA